rnacentral:rRNA from 1 species
CAAGUCGAACGGGGCUAGUGCUUCGCACUAGUCUCUUUCUGGGGGUUGCUACUCUAAGGCUACCUGCUAAAGUUAUUGCUUUAAAGCAGGGUUUUAGGGGACCUUCCCCAAAAGGGGCCAGUGCGGAGCACUGGCCAGUGGCGAACGGGUGAGUAACACGUGGGUAAUCUGCCCUCGAGUGGGGAAUAAGCUCCCGAAAGGGGGUCUAAUACCGCAUGACGUUUCAUAACGAUGGUUAUGAAACCAAAGACCCAAAAGGCGCUUGAGGAGGAGCCUGCGUCCUAUCAGCUUGUUGGCAGGGUAAUGGCCUACCAAGGCUAUGACGGGUAGCCGGCCUGAGAGGGUGUCCGGCCACACUGGAACUGAGACACGGUCCAGACUCCUACGGGAGGCAGCAGGUGGGGUAAUUUUGCGCAAUGGGGGAAACCCUGACGCAGCGACGCCGCGUGGAGGAUGACGGCCUUCGGGUUGUAAACUCCUGUCAGAAGGGACGAAAUCCCGCAAGGGACUGACGGUACCUUCAGAGGAAGCCCCGGCUAACUACGUG